AUUGCAGCUGCCAUAGGGGUAAGAAGUCCGGACCCUUUUCUCUGGAUGGCUAAAAUCAUAAUGAUUGCUGAGCAACGGCUGCCUGGAACACAGCAUGGCGCAGGCAUCUCGGGGGAAUGGGUGGUUUCUUGUGAAAUUAAACACGCACGAAUCUCCACUUUGAUCCAGCAGUUCCACUCUCAGAGAAACGAAAACACAGACCACAAGAUGGCUUGUGCACCAAGGCAUAUAGGUGACUGAAGGAUCCUCAAGCUCCUCUCUUCCCAUUUCCAUCCGCCUGAAGCCACACCCAAAGGGGUGUGGCCAUCGUUUCAGGUCCUCAGACCAGAUGCCUACAGGUGACUCUAUCCCCAUUAAAC